rnacentral:tRNA from 1 species
CUGGUGGUAGCUUAAUGAAAAGUUUAGGAUUCUUACUCCUACGUUGUAUAUGUUAUUUACUCAUCAGG